rnacentral:rRNA from 1 species
GAUGAACGCUCGCGGCAGGCCUAAUACAUGCAAGUCGAACGGGAUUGCGGUAGUAGCUUGCUACUACUGCAUGAGAGUGGCGCACGGGUGCGUAACGCGUGAGCAACCUACCCAUAUCAGGGGGAUAGCCCGGCGAAAGUCGGAUUAACACCGCAUAACAUCAACAGUUCGCAUGUUCAGUUGAUUAAAUAUUUAUAGGAUAUGGAUGGGCUCGCGUGACAUUAGCUAGUUGGUAGGGUAACGGCUUACCAAGGCAACGAUGUCUAGGGGCUCUGAGAGGAGAAUCCCCCACACUGGUACUGAGACACGGACCAGACUCCUACGGGAGGCAGCAGUAAGGAAUAUUGGUCAAUGGGCGCAAGCCUGAACCAGCCAUGCCGCGUGCAGGAGGACUGCCCUAUGGGUUGUAAACUGCUUUUAUCAGGGAAUAAACCCCUUUACGAGUAGAGGGUUGAAUGUACCUGAAGAAUAAGGAGCGGCUAACUCCGUG